UACGUAGGGUGCAAGCGUUGUCCGGAAUUAUUGGGCGUAAAGAGCUCGUAGGCGGUUUGUCGCGUCUGCUGUGAAAACCCGAGGCUCAACCUCGGGCCUGCAGUGGGUACGGGCAGACUAGAGUGCGGUAGGGGAGAUUGGAAUUCCUGGUGUAGCGGUGGAAUGCGCAGAUAUCAGGAGGAACACCAAUGGGCGAAGGCAGAUCUCUGGGCCGACUACUGACGCUGAGAAGCGAAAGCAUGGGGAGCGAACAGG
rnacentral:rRNA from 1 species